GACGAACGCUGGCGGCGUGCUUAACACAUGCAAGUCGAGCGGUAAGGCCUUUCGGGGUACACGAGCGGCGAACGGGUGAGUAACACGUGGGUGAUCUGCCCUGCACUCUGGGAUAAGCCUGGGAAACUGGGUCUAAUACCGGAUAUGACUACAUGCUGCAUGGUGUGUGGUGGAAAGAUUUAUCGGUGCAGGAUGGGCCCGCGGCCUAUCAGCUUGUUGGAGGGGUAAUGGCCUACCAAGGCGACGACGGGUAGCCGACCUGAGAGGGUGACCGGCCACACUGGGACUGAGACACGGCCCAGACUCCUACGGGAGGCAGCAGUGGGGAAUAUUGCACAAUGGGCGGAAGCCUGAUGCAGCGACGCCGCGUGAGGGAUGAAGGCCUUCGGGUUGUAAACCUCUUUCAGCAGGGACGAAGCGUGAGUGACGGUACCUGCAGAAGAAGCACCGGCUAACUACGUGCCAGCCGCCGCCGUAAAAC
rnacentral:rRNA from 1 species